UACGUAGGUGACCAGCGUUGUCCGGAUUUACUGGGCGUAAAGAGCGCGCAGGCGGUCGUUCAAGUCGAGUGUGAAAGCCCCCGGCUCAACUGGGGAGGGUCAUUCGAUACUGAUCGACUUGAAGGCAGGAGAGGGAAGUGGAAUUCCCGGUGUAGUGGUGAAAUGCGUAGAUAUCGGGAGGAACACCAGUGGCGAAGGCGGCUCACUGGCCCGGAACUGACGCUGAGACGCGAAAGCGUGGGUAGCAAACAGG
rnacentral:rRNA from 1 species